GCUUUAUGCGCUUUGGGAGGGGCCUGCGUAACAUUAGCUAGUUGGUGAGGUAAAAGCUCACCAAGGCUUCGAUGUUUAACUGGUUUGAGAGGAUGACCAGUCACACUGGGACUGAGAUACGGCCCAGACUCCUACGGGAGGCAGCAGUAAGGAAUCUUCCACAAUGGGGCAACCCUGAUGGAGCAAUACCGCGUGCAGGAUGAAGCGUUUCGGCGUGUAAACUGCUUUUAUCACCGAAGAUUAUGACUGUAGGUGAAGAAUAAGGACCGGCUAACUACGUG
rnacentral:rRNA from 1 species